rnacentral:miRNA from 1 species
GAUCAUGUGGCAGCAUCACC